AUUGAACGCUGGCGGCCGGCCUAACACAUGCAAGUCGAGCGGAGCGGCGGACGGGUGAGUAAUGCUUAGGUAUCUGCCUGUUAGUGGGGGAUAACGUUCGGAACCGGGCGCUAAUACCGCUUACUAUCAGAUGCGCCUAGGUCGGAUUAGCUAGUUGGUGGGGUAAAGGCCUACAAAGGCGACGAUCCGUAACUGGUCUGAGAGUAUGAUCAGUCACACUGGAACUGAGACACGGUCCAGACUCCUACGGGAGGCAGCAGUGGGGAAUAUUGGACAAUGGGCGAAAGCCUGAUCCAGCCAUGCCGCGUGUGUGAAGAAGGUCUUCGGAUUGUAAAGCACUUUAAGUUGGGAGGCGUUACCAACAGAAUAAGCACCGGCUAACUUCGUGCCAGCAGCCGCGGUAAUAC
rnacentral:rRNA from 1 species